rnacentral:lncRNA from 7 species
CUCAAGUAUCGUAGAUGGUGUUGUAAGCUAUUGAAUAUGAUCCCUAAUUGUAAAGAUCUCUGAGAAAUCUGAAACAUCAGCAGUUAAUGACCUUUUGGUCACCAUCUUCAACUACACUUUGUGUUUUUACCUAGUAGGCUUGCAAUUAGCAUUGCCACUUGGAUGUUACUUCGGUGUAUUUUGCAAGAAGUUGGUUUGAACUCUGUCAAAAAAGUAAAUGUUUGUCACAGAAAAUUACAGUCGUUACAAAUGCUGCAGCCAAUAGCAUGUACUGAUAACAGCAAGCCUUUUUCCUGGAAUGCAUUUCAUAUUCUAGUGUUUUAUUUCAAACCUUGCUCAGCUGUGCAUGGCUAAUAAGUAAUAGUGGAAAGUAUAAGUCAGCUGAAAAUUUGCAGACCUUCUUUUGAUCUAGAGAAGCAGAAGUUGGUUGCUUGGCAUUCUUUUAGAUGACCUUCGUAACUUAGUUGCAGACUGCAAUUUGGCUCUGCUAUCUAUUUUCACAGCAGCAUAAAAUAUUAAAGUCAAAGAGUAUCAAUAAUUCAUACUCUUAUGGUGUUGUGGAUACCAAUGAGAGGAUUAUUUCUAUUUGCUAAAAUGAAAAGUGCAACUUUGCUUAAGAUACAAAUAUAAGUUUGUGGCCUUUAAUGUUCUUGAGAGAAAAUUAAAUCUCAUGUUUCAUGGAAAGAGGAGCUGUAGUUGGUAGCUAUCCUGUCAUUUAUACUUUAGCCUCCUAUGCACAGCAGGCUGAAGUGUUCACUUGCUAAAACAGGCAGACAUGUUGCUAAUUUGUGUCUUUUUCCCCUCCAUCCUUCUAAUAAGUAUUUUUCACAGCUUUUUCCCUGUUAUGAAAUCUGAUUGUUUCUAAAGAGCCACUUACUACCAGUGUUAACAGCACGUCUUGUUGAAGAGGAUAGGAAACCAAAAGAAGGAUGUGAACUGGAAGUCAAUGAAGGGCCUUCCUAAACUUGCUUUUGCCACUGUGCUAUGGACUGAAGAUGGAUAAAUCACUUUGGGUUUUCUGCCAACUCUGUCUGCUGCACUUAAUGAGAAGCUCCUCAGGAAGGAGAAGUGUUUUUCAGUGUCAACUCGCAAGGGCUUCUGAUUGCAGAAAAAGGCAAGAGAGCAAGAGUCACCUCUGUUCCUUUUUCUGAGAUAUUCUGUGUCAAGGUUCUUUGUAUGAUCAGAAAGAAAUACUGGGCUCUGGGUAUCACUGAAGAUGAAAUCUGCUCGUCGCCCUGAACAUGUUAUUCCAAGUAGCUGAGGAGGAAUCACUGAGAUACCUGCUAUACUCCUGGAAAUCAAGCACAGCAGAAUGGUAAUAACAUGUUGUCUUCAGAGAGGUGUCUUGUGGAAAAAGUCUUCAAUGACUACAAAGUGCUUUGGCAAUGCAUUGAUGGGAAACAAGUAAACACAUUAAACAUCUGAAGGAGCCAUAUCUGUGCUAUUCUCCAGUCCUGACUCAUUCACAGUGGAUCUAUGGGCACAACUGUGACUAUGAUGCAUAGCAGUGUGUGAGUGAAGGGAGGAUUGCUCCUGGAUACCUUUUAUUGAGAAACCACUGCGCACCAGAGGAUAGAUAACCGCCUUCACUUUUGUCACUUCCUUAAUCAGUCUUCUGCCCAUACACAUUUGUUGGACACUUUGGGAUUUAAACCCUCCGCUUAUGUUCCUCUUUGGACUAAGUGCCUUUCCUCUCCAUUUAUGUCACAGCAGGACAUUCAUAAUCUCAAGUUACAUAUUUUUCCCCGCUACACCACUGGUGUGGGUAUGAUUUACGCUCAUCCAACAAUUUAUAACAAUUCUCUUAUUGGCAUGAGUUCAGCUCGCAGCUAAUCAGCGCAUCAGAUUCAAGCACAAUUUUGAAGCAUUUGCAAUGAGAUAAACAAACCAACAAUGGGUCAUUAUAUCAGUAGCCUACUAUUGUGAAUGUGGCAUGUAACAAAUAAGAGAAAGUGUGACUUAUUUUAAUAGGGAAUAAAAGACAUAACAUGUAUACAAACUUCUCGCAACGUAAAUUCCUUUUUAACUGCUCAUCAUGCUCUUAUACAAUCUCAGGUAACUUGACCUCCUUAAUUGCCACAUUUACAGUAGAAAUUUGAUACCGGACUGAUUGAAAAUGUAUUUCUAAUGGAUUUUCCCUAGAGAUAUUUCUAUAAAUCUGGUGAGAACCUUUUCAUUGCUUUUUGUAUUACUUGUAAAAAUGUUCUUCUUAUAAGCAGUCAGUUUUAACACAUGCGCAUCUGUUUAACUUUUUUUUUUUUUUUACUUUGAAUUCCAUGCUGAACUUUGUGUUCUUUGGAAUUUCUUGUAAUAUUAAAAAUAUAAGUAACUGGUUCCAAAAGCCUUCUGUUGUUGAGCCGAAGUUUUAGCAUUCCAUAGUCAAUGAAGCUUUCAGCAACUCAGAAUGCUCUUAAGAUAGCAGUUAUCCUGAAUAAAUAAAUAAAAUAAAAUGAUGACG